GCCCGGAUGGCGGAAUCGGUAGACGCUCAGGACUUAAAAUCCUGUGAUGGCAACAUCGUGGGGGUUCAAGUCCCCCUCUGGGUA
rnacentral:tRNA from 1 species